rnacentral:rRNA from 1 species
UGGGGAAUAUUGCACAAUGGACGGAAGUUUGAUGCAGCGACGCCGCGUGGAGGGUGUAGGCCUUCGGGUUGUGAACUCCUUUUUCUCGCGAAAAAGGCACAGUUUUGGCUGUGUUGAUGGUAGUGGGGGAAGAAGCGCCGGCUAACUACGUGCCAGCAGCCGCGGUAAUACGUAGGGCGCGAGCGUUGUCCGGAUUUAUUGGGCGUAAAGAGCUCGUAGGUGGUUCGUCGCGUCUGUCGUGAAAGCCAGCAGCUUAACUGUUGGUCUGCGGUGGGUACGGGCGGGCUUGAGUGCGGUAGGGGUGGCUGGAAUUCCGGGUGUAGCGGUGGAAUGCGCAGAUAUCAGGAGGAACACCGAUGGCGAAGGCAGGUCACUGGGCCGUUACUGACACUGAGGAGCGAAAGCGUGGGGAGCGAACAGG